CCCUCUCUGGGCACAUUCAUUUAUUGAUACAAUUAUUAUAUUUUAUUCUCAUGGAUAUAUCUCUCAUGGUGCCUUACACUGGAUGAUUAUAUGUUGAGCAGGCACACAAUCUAUGUAUUAUUGUGAAGCCAUACAAUAUCACAGUCGUUAUACAAAACAUAUACUGUGCCUAUAACAAGAUCAACUAUAUCACUGUAGCCUACGAAGGGCAUAUUGUGUUACUGUACCCUACAAAGGGCAUAUUAUAUUAUAUUAUUGUACCCUACAGAGGGUCAUAUUAUAUUACUGUACCUGACGGUGCAAAUUUAUGUGGGUGUCCUCUGGGUAUUUUUUCAUGGCACACCACCUGGGGUGACCCCCCAGAUAUGCAUGCAAGGUCACUGACAGACCAUUACCUUUGAUGUGGGUGUCCUCUGGGCUACCAUGGCACACCACCCGGGGUGAACCCCGAUCAUAUGCACGGAGGCCUACGCCACACUGCCUGUCAGUUUUACAUUAAAGCAACAAUACCAUGCCGGAUGCGUUUUGACGGCAGGAUCACUAAGAAAACUGAGUGUAUUGCGGUGUACCCUUCACAGGGAUACAUAUAUGUAUAUUUACUGUGCCUAGUGUACAUAUUGAACGUGGGUGUCCUCUGGGUAAUUUUUCAUGGCACACCACCUGGGAUGACCCCCAGAUAUGCAUGCAAUGCUUGUAAGGUGCCAAUAAUUAUAAUAUGGGUGUCCUCUGGGUUACCAUGGCACACCACCUGGGAUGAACCCAGCCUAAUAGACAUGGGUCCUGCGGCUGCAGACCUUAUGGAGACAGGCCCCAUGCGCCUAUAUACUAAGCCUGUAUAGUUAAAAACCGUGCAUACAGCUCUGGCGUACAUUUGUGGUGAACCCGGCUAGCCAGACCGACACCACUACCAGUCACCGCCUGCACCACGACUCUCAGUAGCCAGAUUAAACUAAUAGAGGUGACCCCUCUACACUUGGCACGAGUAUUCAUACUCUCAGACAUACUAAAGCAGGCAAUUCAAACUGUUUUUACCUGGGUGAUCCCCAGUUCUACCAGGAGUCUAACACCCCUAUGUGCUGACCCUCACACUAUCUCACAACAGGACGGGAACGAGUCAUGGUGGACACUCUCAACGUUCCCAAGAUUUCUAGGCAACGAUACACGCCACAGUAACGGCCUCAGUGGAGAAGGUUCUGUUAUGAACUCUACCCCACACCGCUUGAUGGAGACCUCAGGCCCACAAGCCUUCAAGUCAAAACGGCAAGGGAAGGGCUCCAGCCCCCUGCCACUAAGGUCAAGGGCAAGACGCCCAUCGAACAGACCAAAUAGGCGGAGCACCGGGAAUCCAAACCCCGUCCGCCACAAUCUUCCGACCAAGAAGACUAUUACCCACCACGUACUUUGGACAUGGUAGAUGAGCGACACGAAGACAGCCCACCGUCUGAGGAAAUGGAACGGCAAGACCUUCCCCACACUUCCUCGAAGUACGUUAGGGAAACCUUACUCUGGGACGGUGGCUGAGACAGAGAUAACUGUAACGGCACUAAACCAGAGUAGCCGAAGACGGAACGUUCCUGGACGAACACUAUUGGCUGCGCAACCCUCGGGGGAUGGAAGGAUGCGCACGCCUCAAGACCGAGUUACCCCAGGGUACACAACUCAACCCUACCACCUCCAAAGAACGGUCUUAAUGCUCGAUAUGCCUCCUGGGCAACGUAAAUGACGCACUAUGCGCCGACAGACGCAAAUCUGUACUUGGCCGCAUCGACAACACACUAUUGGACUUAGGAACGACAAGAAUUCGGCCCAAAAGCACAAGGCCUACUAUUCGACGUAGUGUUCAUUGCAGUAUUCAAGAAACACGUGAAUUUAUUCACCACACUAAAUUAAACCCAGACCUCGCUAAAACAAGUCUUCCACAACCCUACGGGGAAAGGUGUUUCUGGGAGGACUGGUCGGUAACUGAACCGAGCCACCAGCCGCUUCUGGGCGACAGGUUCCAGAUCGUAUACACGGUCCUCAUAUUUCUCCCAUCUAAUACACAAAGGAACCCAUCCGCUUCAUCUACUAGUGUGUCAACCUACAUAACUAACUGUUUCCAAUAUUAUGACCGGCAACCUGUCUCUGUUUUACAGAAUUGGGAGACGACUACCAAAGUCACCUGGGUUCUCCAGACAGUACAAGGCUAUGUCAUAGAGUUUUAUCACAGCCGUGCAGGUCGCCCCUUCAC